UCCUUUUUAUUCAGGGUCUUACAUUAUAAC
rnacentral:piRNA from 1 species